CUCCCGCUGCUCUCCCCUCCCUCCCUCCCUCGGUCACCCUCUCUCUCACUUCGGCGAGGGCUCCAACAACCGGCGAAGACGAACGAAACCCUCUCCCUGGCAUGCUCUCCCUCCCUCGCUCCUGUCUCUCUCUCUCACUCCGGCGCAAAAGACCUCUGGCCACGCGAGGUGAAAAUCGUUGGGUUUUAGUCAUAUCUCUCUCUAAGAUCCAGGAAGGCUCUCUGUUCUCUACCGGCGGAAGCUGAUAUUAAAAACGCCCACAAGUAUAGGUUGGUUGGGACUAUGGAGACCUCGAGCUGAGUGGAAGGAAUUUCAUGAAACUGUUUCAAUUUUAAGGAAUUUCAUUGUCUUAA